rnacentral:rRNA from 1 species
UGGGGAAUUUUGGACAAUGGGCGCAAGCCUGAUCCAGCCAUGCCGCGUGCGGGAAGAAGGCCUUCGGGUUGUAAACCGCUUUUGUCAGGGAAGAAAUCUUCUGAGUUAAUACCUCGGGAGGAUGACGGUACCUGAAGAAUAAGCACCGGCUAACUACGUGCCAGCAGCCGCGGUAAUACGUAGGGUGCAAGCGUUAAUCGGAAUUACUGGGCGUAAAGCGUGCGCAGGCGGUUUUGUAAGACAGAGGUGAAAUCCCCGGGCUCAACCUGGGAACUGCCUUUGUGACUGCAAGGCUUGAGUGCGGCAGAGGGGGAUGGAAUUCCGCGUGUAGCAGUGAAAUGCGUAGAUAUGCGGAGGAACACCGAUGGCGAAGGCAAUCCCCUGGGCCUGCACUGACGCUCAUGCACGAAAGCGUGGGGAGCAAACAGGAUUAGAUACCCCUGGUAGUCCACGCCCUAAACGAUGUCAACUGGUUGUUGGGAAGGUUCCUUCUCAGUAACGUAGCUAACGCGUGAAGUUGACCGCCUGGGGAGUACGGCCGCAAGGUUGAAACUCAAAUGAA